AUUGAACGCUGGCGGCAGGCCUAACACAUGCAAGUCGAAUGGUAACAGGAAACAGCUUGCUGUUUCGCUGACGAGUGGCGGACGGGUGAGUAAUGUCUGGGAAACUGCCUGAUGGAGGGGGAUAACUACUGGAAACGGUAGCUAAUACCGCAUAACGUCGCAAGACCAAAGAGGGGGACCUUCGGGCCUCUUGCCAUCAGAUGUGCCCAGAUGGGAUUAGCUAGUAGGUGGGGUAACGGCUCACCUAGGCGACGAUCCCUAGCUGGUCUGAGAGGAUGACCAGCCACACUGGAACUUAGACACGGUCCAGACUCCUACGGGAGGCAGCAGUGGGGAAUAUUGCACAAUGGGCGCAAGCCUGAUGCAGCCAUGCCGCGUGUAUGAAGAAGGCCUUCGGGUUGUAAAGUACUUUCAGCGGGGAGGAAGGGAGUAAAGUUAAUACCUUUGCUCAUUGACGUUACCCGCAGAAGAAGCACCGGCUAACUCCGUG
rnacentral:rRNA from 1 species